rnacentral:rRNA from 1 species
UACGUAGGGGGCUAGCGUUGUCCGGAAUCAUUGGGCGUAAAGCGCGUGUAGGCGGUUCGGUAAGUCCGCUGUGAAAGUCGGGGGCUCAACCCUCGGAUGCCGGUGGAUACUGUCGGACUAGAGUACGGAAGAGGCGAGUGGAAUUCCUGGUGUAGCGGUGAAAUGCGCAGAUAUCAGGAGGAACACCAACGGCGAAGGCAGCUCGCUGGGACGGUACUGACACUGAGGCGCGAAAGCGUGGGGAGCGAACAGG